AUUAAGCAUAUAAUUAAGCGGAGGAAAAGAAACUAACCAGGAUUCCCCCAGUAAGGGCGACUGAAGCGGGAAGUGCUCAGGAUGUGAAUCUGCGCUGUGCGCCGAAUUGUGGUCUGUAGACGGUGGCGCUACUAGCCGGGCCAAGUCCCUUGGAAAAGGGCAGCUGAGAGGGUGAGACUCCCGUCCGCCUGGCAAGGUGAGCUACCAGUCGACGAGUCGAGUUGUUUGGGAUUGCAGCUCAAAGUGGGUGGUAAAUUCCAUCUAAAGCUAAAUAUUGGUGGGAGACCGAUAGCGUACAAGUACCGUGAGGGAAAGAUGCAAAGAACUUUGAAAAGAGAGUUAAAGAGUACCUGAAAUUGCUGAAAGGGAAGCGAAGGAAACCAGUGUUGGCUCAGUCAUAUUUCCCUGGCCGCUGGCGGCUUGGGCGCUGUGUCUGGCUUGUGUUGUGCUUGGUUGGAUCCUUUGGAAGAGCUCGGAGGGAGUUGACCUCCGCUGCUAGCACUGGAUCCGACCGAGCAGGACGAAAUGGUUUUCUUUACCCCGUCUUGAAACACGGACCAAGGAGUCUAACAUAUGUGCGAGUACAGGGGUGGCAAACCCCCGUGCGCAAUGAAAGUGACAGUGGUUGGACGUUUUGGCACAAUCCGCCGGCCUCAAUCCCUCGGGAGAACGGUCUGAGUGUGAGCAUACAUGUUGGGACCCGAAAGAUGGUGAACUAUGCCUGAAUAGGGUGAAGCCAGGGGAAACUCUGGUGGAGGCUCGUAGCGAUUCUGACGUGCAAAUCGAUCGUCAAAUUUGGGUAUAGGGGCGAAAGACUAAUCGAACCAUCUAGUAGCUG
rnacentral:rRNA from 1 species